rnacentral:rRNA from 1 species
CCUACGGUGUGCUGCAGUGGGGGAUAUUGCACAAUGGGGGGAACUCUGAUGCAGCGACGCCGCGUGGGUGAAGGAGCGUUUCGGCGCGUAAAGCCCUAUCGGCAGGGAAGAAGAUGACGGUCCCUGACCAAGAAGCCCCGGCUAACUACGGGCCAGCAGCCGCGGGAAUACGUAGGGGCCACGCGUUAUCCGGAUUGACUGGGGGUAAAGGGGGAGCAGACGGAAAUGCAAACCAGGAGUGAAAGCCCGGGGCCCAACCCCGGGACUGCGCUUGGAACAGCAUGGCUGGAGUACAGGAGGGGCAGGCGGAAUUCCUAGUGUAGCGGUGAAAUGCGUAGAUAUUAGGAGGAACACCGGUGGCGAAGGCGGCCUGCUGGACUGUGACUGACGUUGAGGCCCGAAGGCGUGGGGAGCAAACAGGAUUAGAUACCCUUGUAGUC